GUCCUCGUAGAUCAGUCGGCAGAUCCCCCAUUUCAAGUUAGAUAGCCUUGGAGUUUCCAGUGGAAGAUGUGGGUUCGAUUCCCACCGAGGGCG